UGUAACGUGAGAAAGAGGGUUAAGGGAGAGAAACCGAUUUAUUUGUCCCUGAGAAAGGUUUGUCCGGUGAUCUUUGAGAUAGCCAUGUCUUCCGCAUCAAGUUUUUCUUAUUCAGGACAGACCAAGCACCCCAUGACCUCACGAAGCUGCGGCGGCUUUAUUUUCGUCAAAAGAUCUCGCCUUUAGUUUCGAGGAGCCAAUGGUCACCAAUCGUCGACCUCGACCCCACCCUCGAGAUUUCCGACGUCCUCUGUGGGCGUCAAUAACCUCUGUGGUGACCAGCGGCCCAAGCCUCUUCCCCCCUUCUAAUUUUAUGAUCGAAUUGUAAAAAAGUUAAAAAUUUGAGGGUAAUAAUAAAAAAAAAGUUUGAUGACCAAAAGUGAUGAAAAUAAUUAACUAUGAGGUCUAUCAUGUCUCACGAAGUGAAUCACAUGAUAUUAUUUAUCCCUAAAAAAAUCACAUGAUACAAUUUAUCUCAAACUUAAAUCACAAUGGUUUUGUUGCUCCUCAGCUAUGCUAAGAUCUGCUACCUAACAAGCUUUAGGAGGGGAGAUCUGGUGCGGUCAGGUCCACCGGAGGCAAUGGCGAAGGGAUAAGGGUGAUUUGUCUGUGGAUCCCACUGUGCAUUGAUUGGACCAGAGCCGCUUGAUCUAUCAAACCUCCGGUCAGAAAUUCUGGCAUGUGGAUGGGCCCUACUUGGAGACAAUUUUUACCUGUUCGGGUGCGAUGAUGACUAGAAGUCGGAUUACAUUUGACAUCGCAGCCAAAUCAUAACUAAUCCAUUCAUUAUUUCAGCAAAAAAAAUCGAUUACUUCAUCUUUAGAAUAUUAUGAAAUUCGAAUCCAUAUUGCAGAUCC